GUCCGCUAACGAGCGCAACCCUCGCUGUAUGUUACAUGUGUCAUACAGGACCGCCGGUAUCAAGCCGGAGGAAGGUGGGGAUGACGUCAAGUCCGCAUGGCCUUUAUGUCCGGGGCUACACACACGCUACAAUGGUCGGUACAAUGGGUUGCUAAGCCGCGAGGUGGAGCCAAUCCCCCAAAGCCGGCCUCAGUUCAGAUUGCAGGCUGCAACUCGCCUGCAUGAAGCUGGAGUUGCUAGUAAACGCGCGUCAGCUAUAGUGCGUUGAAUACGUUCUCGGGCCUU
rnacentral:rRNA from 1 species